AGAGUGAACGCUGGCGGCAGGCCUAAUACAUGCAAGUCGAACGGCAGCACAGCAGAGCUUGCUCUGUGGGUGGCGAGUGGCGGACGGGUGAGGAAUACAUGGGAAUCUGCCCAGUCGUGGGGGAUAACGUAGGGAAACUUACGCUAAUACCGCAUGCGCCCUUCGGGGGAAAGCCGGGGACCUUCGGGCCUGGCGCGAUUGGAUGAGCCCAUGUCGGAUUAGCUAGUUGGCGGGGUAAAGCCCACAAGGCGACGAUCCGUAGCUGGUCUGAGAGGAUGAUCAGCCACACUGGAACUGAGACACGGUCCAGACCUCCGUACGGGAGCGGCAGGUAGGGAAUA
rnacentral:rRNA from 1 species